rnacentral:rRNA from 1 species
UACAGGGGGGGCAAGCGUUGUUCGGAAUUACUGGGCGUAAAGGGUCUGUAGGUGGCCAACUAAGUCAGACGUGAAAUCCCUCAGCUUAACUGGGGAACUGCGUCUGAUACUGGAUGGCUCGAGUGUGGGAGAGGAAUGCGGAAUUCCAGGUGUAGCGGUGAAAUGCGUAGAUAUCGGAAGGAACGCCGGUGGCGAAAGCGAUCUGCUGGAUCUCUUCUGACGCUGAGGCGCGAAAGCUAGGGGAGCAAACGGG